GUGUCCUUUAUAGAGAUAAAUGGGAGUCAGCAUCCAGCAAAUCACCGGGCUCUGCGAAAUGCCUUCCUAAAAAUACAAUCUUAUCAAAGGUCUCCGAAGGCGUGGAGUUAAAACUACAGCAAAUGGCCUUGAACUUGUAUUUGCACAGAGCCCUGGAGAAAACACCAGAAAUAGCGCUGCGAGGCCACAAUUGUUAAAAUGUGAUAGGGCUAAAUUUAGAAGAACGCACAUUUCAUUUAGGGCAAGAAGACACACAUUCGGCAGCGUGAGCUAACUCAAUGCUUUACCCAGUUGUCUACUUUCCUGUUUAAAAUAUCCCUUAAAAAAAAAAAAGAAAGAAAGAAAGAAAGAAAAAGAAACUGUUACAGUGACAUUUUAAAGGCUGAGAUUGUCCUACUUUCUUUGUAGCAAGAUUAUAAAAUCACGUAAUUAGCUCCCGCUUCCUAUGCUGACUGCCAGCACAUUCGGCAGUUACAUAAUGCAACAUUUCCAGGAAACUAUUAUGUGAUCUGUCUUGUCGUGUCUGAAAAAGCAGGGACAAUAAGGUGAGGGAAGGGGCUGGGGGAAUGGAGCGCUUGGAAAUCGAGAAGGUAUAGAUAGGGAGGUCAACCACAAUGGUUCUCCCCAGGUUUAAAAACAAGAGCUCGGGACACCUCAGGGGCGAGCCCCGGGAGUCCCCAGGAUCAGAAUCCAAGCCCAGGAAUCCUUCACGUUCCGUAGGAGCGUUUUAGAAAAAGAUGCAUUUUUUUUUAAAUGUAUUUUAUUUUAUUUUAUUGGGGACCUAGCAGAGAUGCAGAUGACGAUGCGAUCGCCGACGCUGCGCGAACAUUUCCAAGCCGUGGCACACGUCCGCGCACAUCCCCACAUCUGCCCGGAACCCUCGCCACCCCUUCGCGGUGGACGGAUUAUGCAAUCGGCGCAAGGACAAAUCCACACAACCUUCCCGGGCGCUGGCAACGCGCGCUGACGACAAGCGCGGUGGAAGACGCCCGUGCACAGACGCAGCCCCCGACACCAACACGCCGCGCGCGCAUUCCCCGAGUGCCGUCACGGACUACGUGCCGGCGCCAGGGCGCUGCAAUCAAAGCAGCCACCUUAAGGUGGCGAGUCCCCUCCUGACA
rnacentral:lncRNA from 1 species